CCUACGGGAGGCAGCAGUGAGGAAUAUUGGUCAAUGGCCGGAAGGCUGAACCAGCCAUGCCGCGUGAAGGUCAGUGCCCUAUGGGCGUUAAACUUCUUUUGUGCGGGAGCAAUAAUGGUCACGUGUGGCCAGACGAGAGUACCGUACGAAUAAGCAUCGGCUAACUCCGUGCCAGCAGCCGCGGUAAUACGGAGGAUGCGAGCGUUAUCCGGAUUCAUUGGGUUUAAAGGGUGCGCAGGCGGGCCUUUAAGCCGGCGGUGAAAUCGCGGGGCUCAACCCCGCCGAGCCGUCGGAACUGGGGGCCUUGAGUGCGGCGGAGGCAUGCGGAAUGCGCGGUGUAGCGGUGAAAUGCAUAGAUAUCACACAGAACACCGAUUGCGAAGGCAUCUCACGAAUCCGCGAUUGACGCUGAUGCACGAAAGCGUGGGUAUCAAACAGGAUUAGAUACCCUGUAGUC
rnacentral:rRNA from 1 species